CAAAGGCUUGGUCCUGACUUUACUAUCAGCUUUAGCCCAAUUUAUACAUGCAAGUAUCCGCACCCCUGUGAGAAUGCCCUCAAUCCCCCGUCCGGGGACGAGGAGCGGGCAUCAGGCACAUACUCCAUGGCCCAAGACGCCUUGCUACGCCACACCCCCAAGGGAAUUCAGCAGUAAUAAACAUUAAGCCAUGAGUGAAAACUCGACUUAGUUAGGGCUAAAAGGGCCGGUAAAACUCGUGCCAGCCACCGCGGUUAUACGAGAGGCCCUAGUAGAUAGCCACGGCGUAAAGAGUGGUUAAGGAAAUAUUACAAAUAGAGCCAAAGGCCUUCUAAGCUGUAAUACGCACUCCGAAGGUAUGAAGCCCUAACACGAAAGUAGCUCUACUCCUAUCUACCUGACCCCACGAAAGCUAAGAAACAAACUGGGAUUAGAUACCCCACUAUGCUUAGCCAUAAACCUAGAUGACUUACUACAAUUAUCAUCCGCCCGGGUACUACGAGCGCCAGCUUAAAACCCAAAGGACUUGGCGGUGCUUCAGACCCACCUAGAGGAGCCUGUUCUAGAACCGAUAAUCCCCGUUAAACCUCACCACCUCUGGCUUUCCCCGCCUAUAUACCGCCGUCGUCAGCUUACCCUGUGAAGGUCCAAUAGUAAGCACAAUGGUUAAACCCCAAAACGUCAGGUCGAGGUGUAGCGUACGAGGUGGGAAGAAAUGGGCUACAUUUUCUACAUCAGAAUAUCACGAACGGCACACUGAAAUAUGUGCCUAAAGGUGGAUUUAGCAGUAAAAAGAAAGCAGAGAGUCCUUUUGAAGCAGGCUCUGAAGCGCGCACACACCGCCCGUCACCCUCCCCACUAACUUCACUCACAAAAGUAAAUAACCAAAAAUACCCCGUUACGGGGAGGCAAGUCGUAACAUGGUAAGUGUACCGGAAGGUGCACUUGGAAUAAA
rnacentral:ncRNA from 1 species